AAACCAUAAAUCAGACAUUUCCUAAGUAAUUUCUUGAAUCGCUCCCAAGCUUCAUACAACGUCUCAUCCUCUGAUUGCUGAAAAGAUGUGAUAUCAUUCCUUAACUU
rnacentral:snoRNA from 1 species